rnacentral:rRNA from 1 species
GACGAACGCUGGCGGCGUGCUUAACACAUGCAAGUCGAACGGAAAGGUCCUGCUCUUGCGGGGUGCUCGAGUGGCGAACGGGUGUGUAACACGUGAGUAACCUGUCCCUGUCUUUGGGAUAACUUUAGGAAACUGGGGCUAAUACCGGAUAGGAGCUCCCGCUGCACGGUGGGGGUUGGAAAGUUUCGGCGGUUGGGGAUGGACUCGCGGCUUAUCAGCUUUUUUGUGGGGUAGUGGCUUACCAAGGCUUUGACGGGUAGCCGGCCUGAGAGGGUGACCGGCGACCUUGGGACUGAGAUACGGCGCAGACUCCUACGGGAGGCAGCAGUGGGGAAUAUUGCACAGUGGGCGGACGCCUGAUGCAGCAACGCCGCGUGCGGGAUGACGGCCUUCGAGGUGUAAACCGCUUUCGACUGUGACGAAGCGUGAGUGACGGUAAUGGGUAAAAAAGCACCGGCUAACUACGUG